GACGAACGCUGGCGGCGUGCUUAACACAUGCAAGUCGAACGGAAAGGCCCUGCUUUUGUGGGGUGCUCGAGUGGCGAACGGGUGAGUAACACGUGAGUAACCUGCCCUUGACUUUGGGAUAACUUCAGGAAACUGGGGCUAAUACCGGAUAGGAGCUCCUGCUGCAUGGUGGGGGUUGGAAAGUUUCGGCGGUUGGGGAUGGACUCGCGGCUUAUCAGCUUGUUGGUGGGGUAGUGGCUUACCAAGGCUUUGACGGGUAGCCGGCCUGAGAGGGUGACCGGCCACAUUGGGACUGAGGUACGGCCCAGACUCCUACGGGAGGCAGCAGUGGGGAGUAUUACACAAUGGGCCGAAGCCUGAUGCAGCGACGCCGCGUGCGGGAUGACGGCCUUCGAGUUGUAAACCGCUUUCGCCUGUGACGAAGCGUGAGUGACGGUAAUGGGUAAAGAAGCACCGGCUAACUACGUG
rnacentral:rRNA from 1 species